UAGCUCAGUUGAUUAGAGCGUGGUGCUAAUAACGCCAAGGUCGCGAGUUCGACCCUCGU
rnacentral:tRNA from 1 species